AUUCCCCAGAGCCAGAUAGCAUCAUUAUUAACAUGCUUAAUACGCCACAUGAGGAAGAAGGCCAGUGCAACCAAGCGGAUGAGAACAAGAAGCCUGCAAGCAAGAGACAGUUCAGACAAGAGGAAGGUUCACAACAUGGCAAUACACCUAUGAAUCUAUAAACAGGGGGAGAAUAAAUGGCAAGAGUACGGUGCCUAGUAAGGCAAAUGAUCAAUCAGAGAGAAGAAUCGAGGAGGCAGAGCAAGAAUUGACGAACCUUUUCCUCCUCAUCUGACGUGAUGCAUUCUGCGGCAAUGGCAAUGGAACAAGGCUUGGAAAGUAGUAAUGAGGAAGCGCGUACACGCCCAUUGUUAUUUGAAUGGUUCCAAUCAACCAACUGGAGUGGAAUCGAAGAGGUGACUGGGGAGGCGCCAAGGAGAGGGGCGCACGAUGUCUCGGUGCUCCAUGCAUGAUUCAGGAGAACAUACUACUGCAUGCAAUCAUCAUUCUCGUUCAUACUGAUGGCUUCCUGAUUGCCUGGUUGCUUACUUAUGUCUUCAUUUUAAGGUCCAUGACGCCGUGCAGUGAAAACUUGGAUUGAAAGAUCCAAGUCAAUCCGGCAACACACGGACACGGUGGGAAGCUUCGUGCAACAAACGUCCAGGCUCGUGGUCAAAGUAUCAAAAUGCAUCGUGCCCGCUACUCCGAGUCCUCGUUGGAAGCUGGCAGCUGGCAGCAUGCACACCCUGCAAUCCAACCUCUGAAUUCCAUGCAUAGACAAAUAUGCGAAAAGGCAUAUUAUGUAAUUAUUUUUUAGUGGGAAAUAUAUAUGUAUAAAAUAGAUUUAUUUUUAAUAAGCUCUACAUGCAAAUCAUGCAAUUUUCUGGAUCUCAUGUUUCUGAUGUCUAUUUAUUUUUUGUUC